AAUCAGUUGUUUAAUUACAUAUCUAGAAAACCUUUUUUCUUCCUAGCACUUGUACGACAAAUCAAGAGAUUAUGAUGAUGAGGUACUAAAUGAAAAUCAUUUUCACAACUGUCCAGACAUUGAAAUCUGUAGCUGAAGAAGAGAUUAACCGAAUCUGCUGCCAUCAGCUGAAUGCCACUCUAUUGACAACCAGGGUGAGCAGCUCAGAAACAGUCCUGACUUCAAAAAGCAACUGAAAAACACUGGCUGUUAAAGGUGGGGGAGACAUUAAAGAGUAUAUAAAGAGAGUCAUGGGUGCAACGUUAACACAUUCUCUGGCCAAGAAUAUCAACAUGUGAAGUAUAAAUGGGCAGACUGCCUUACAGCACAUGUAGAUAAAAGAUGUUGUGAUUGAUAAGUUUGACUUACAGACUCAUUCACAGAUUCACUUUGACUAUACAUCUUAUAAAAAGCUAUAAAAGCUGGCUUUACACUAUAGGUCUUGAUGUCCAAUUCUGAAUUUUUCCCUAAAUCCUAUUUUUGAAAAAUUGCAUAUGUGUGUUAUAGCUGCUGUGUGACUUAAUCAUCUGAGAUCUGAUGCCACGGACCAAGAAAUUCCAAAUCGACUUCAACAUACACCAGAUAGGAAUGGUGGGCGAAGCAAACAUGGGAAUAACGGAGCAGCAAUACAUUUAUGAAUGUUUAUGAAAGGAUAUGCUAAACUGUUCACUGAAGUUUCUGCUGUUUGAAGAAAAGAUAGUAUUCCAUUGCCUUUUUGCAGUCUUAAAUUUAAUGCAAUGUUUUAGUAUCCCCCCCCCACAAAUUUCAGAGUUUGGGUUGUAUGCUGUUCUGUCUUUGACCAAUGCUUACACUUGCAAAAUUUACCUGAGUGACAUAGUGCAAGACUGCAGAGUGUAGGAUGAAAAAAUCAGAAUACACAGACAUGAAUCUGGAA